rnacentral:lncRNA from 1 species
GAAAUUUCAUGUUUGUUUACUUAACAGGGCAUUACUAAUCUAGAGGAAGCAAGUGGGUGAAGAACCACAUUUGCAAAGAGGACAAGAGAUUAAUGAAAAGAAGUGGAGAAAAGAAUUUGCAGUUACACAAGUUCCAGCUCUGUUCCAGAAAGUGAUAAAAAGGAGAAGGAAAAGGUCCGGAGUUCUUUGAUAGACUUCUGAGGAAGGCAGCGAAAGGAUGAAAGAUUACCCUCCCAGAAAAUACCCUGACUCCAUUUAUACUGUGGGGAUUGGCCCUGACCCAGUCCAUUGGGGCUGCCAUUAACAUUUGCAACCUGAGGCCAGUGCUGGCCAGGAAGCAGAUCUGAGAAAUACGAAGAAAUGAGUCCCUAAAGUAAACAUAAUUAACCUGUGGAACAAGGUGUACCUGAAGCCAGUUGUCCCUGGACUUCUUAGUUAUGUAAAUAAAUAAAUUAUCCUUUGUGCUUAAACCA